rnacentral:rRNA from 1 species
AGAGUUUGAUCCUGGCUCAGAACGAACGCUGGCGGCGUGCCUAACACAUGCAAGUCGAGCGCGAAAACACUUCGGUGUGAGUAAAGCGGCGCACGGGUGAGUAACACGUGGGUAAUCUGCCUUAAGGUCCGGAAUAACCCGAGGAAACUCGGGCUAAUACCGGAUAACACUACAAAACUUCAGUGAUGUAGGAAAAGCGGGGGAUUCUUCGGAACCUCGCGCCAUAAGAUGAGCCCGCGGCCCAUCAGCUAGUUGGUAAGGUAAUGGCUUACCAAGGCUAAGACGGGUAGCUGGUCUGAGAGGAUGAUCAGCCACACUGGAACUGAGACACGGUCCAGACUCCUACGGGAGGCAGCAGUGGGGAAUCUUGCGCAAUGGGCGAAAGCCUGACGCAGCAACGCCGCGUGAGCGAUGAAGGUCUUCGGAUUGUAAAGCUCUGUCGGCGGGAACGAUGCCUUUGAAUGUUAAUACCAUUUAGAGGUGACGGUACCCGCAAAGAAGCCC